rnacentral:misc_RNA from 1 species
GAAUUAACAUCCUUGACCUAGGAUCCGGGAUUAUACGCAUGCGCAGAGAACCACGUGACCAAUAGUCUACACGUGGUGGCUGUCAGCGCACGGACGCAUUUAGCUCGUGGUCUGUGUGAAUAAGCGAUCGAAACUGUUUUAUCUCACGACAGGUUGAAUACAAGUCCAAGGUACAAUUCUGCAACCCAACAAUGAAUAAUUCAUCAGGAAGAAUGGAUAGGAGUGGAGGAUUUGGAAGGUCAGACAGAAGCAAUAUACGUGGUGGCAUGGGAGGGGGGAGAUUCAAUAACGGAAGGGAUUUUUCAAUGAACGGCAUGCAGCGUGGAGAACGUCUUCGUAAGCCAAACUGGAAUAUAGAAGAACUUCCACCUUUUGAAAAAAAUUUCUACAAGGAGCUGCCUAGUGUUACAAACAGGUCUCCAAUGGAGGUUUAUCAAUUUAGGCAGACUCAUUCCAUCACAUUGUCAGACAAGCGAGUGCCAAAUCCUGUCAUGGCCUUUGAAGAAGCAAGUUUGCCAGACUACCUGAUGAACCAAAUUCGUAAAAAUAGCUUUGCAUCACCAACACCCAUUCAGUCACAAGCCUGGCCGAUUGUCAUGUCUGGCAGGAAUCUAGUAGGCAUUGCUAAAACAGGAUCUGGAAAAACCUUAGGGUUUAUUUUGCCUGCUAUUGUACAUAUCACUAACCAAGCACAUCUGGCUCGUGGAGAUGGACCAAUUUGUCUUGUUCUUGUCCCAACCCGAGAACUGGCACAACAAGUUCAAGAAGUGGCUUCAGAAUAUGGUCGCACAACUCAGGUUCGCAGUGUAUGUGUUUAUGGUGGUGCGCCAAAGGGACCACAGAUACGAGACUUAGAAAGGGGUGCAGAAAUUUGUAUUGCCACGCCUGGACGUCUCAUUGAUUUCUUGGAAGCUAAUCGCACCAACCUGCGCCGCUGUACAUAUCUGGUGCUCGAUGAGGCAGAUAGGAUGCUUGACAUGGGCUUUGAACCUCAGAUCCGAAAGAUCAUUGAACAAAUUCGUCCUGACCGUCAAACUCUCAUGUGGAGUGCCACCUGGCCCAAGGAAGUGCGCAAGUUGGCUGAAGACUUCAUUUCUGAGUUUGUGCAGAUUAACAUUGGCAAUGUUGAGCUUGCCGCCAACCACAACAUCCUUCAGAUUGUUGAUGUGUGCAUGGACCAUGAGAAAGAGGAGAAACUUGUGAAGUUGUUGAAUGAAAUUAUCGAGGAAAAGGAGAACAAAACUAUUAUAUUUGUGGACACGAAAAGGAAGUGUGAUGACCUGCAUCGUAGAAUGAAGCGUGAUGGAUGGCCAGUCACAUGCAUUCAUGGAGAUAAAUCUCAGCAGGAGAGAGAUUGGGCAUUAAAUGAUUUUAAGCAGGGGAGAUCAGCAAUCCUUCUUGCAACAGAUGUUGCCUCCCGUGGCUUAGUCAGGAGCUCGUGAGCGCCCUGAUUCGGCCACACCGCAGGAGGGAGAGGCCUAAGGCUUAGAUAAGGUCGAGCUGACCUGCUGCCAGAUAUAAUGGUGCUGGGGUAACGGAUAGAAGGUCAACCAUAUGGAUGACAUAAAGUUUGUGGUGAACUAUGACUACCCAAAUGGCUCGGAGGACUACAUUCAUCGUAUUGGGCGCACAGGGCGAGCUCAUAAGACAGGCACAGCCUACACCUUCUUCACGCCUAGCAACAUCAAACA